rnacentral:tRNA from 1 species
GGGGAUGUGGUUUAGUGGUAGAGUGCUUGUCUAGCAAGCAUGAAGCUGUGGGUUCAAUUCCUCAGUACCA